rnacentral:lncRNA from 1 species
UCCAACUCUCUUGAAUCAAUCUCUGGACAGCGAGUGAUCCCGAGCCCUUGCAUCCGAACGUGCUUAAGUAACUUUGAGUCAAGUUUAGGUGGAAGACGCUUGAGAUUUUUGCAAACAUUGAUGUCUAGCGUUACCAGCUUGGUCAAAUAUUGAACAUGAAAUGGUACCUCAACUAGGCUUCUGCAUCCAAAAAGAAGGAGUUCUUCGAGAUUCAAAGAACUUGAUAUAUCCGGAAUAGCGAUUAGAUUUGUACAGUAGCGGAGAUCAAGCACAAUCAAGUUCACAAGUUGGGGCUGUAGAAAAAGAAAAAGAGAACGAAUCAAUCUCCAUUACGGUAACAAAUACAAGAUCAUCAAAAUUGUAUAUAUUCAGUGACUUACUUGAUCAUAUCCUUCCCAACAUCUUCGAAUUGGACUUCCACGUAUAAUGAGAUGAACAAGGUGUUGGGGAUAAAACUUUGCCGGUAGAGAUUUUGAAGGAUAUCCAUCCCACUGCAACCAUCUUAACCCCUCCGGAAGGGAGUUAAGUCCAUCGUAAGGCAAAUGAAUUUUCGUCUUCACAUUUUUUAAAGGAUAUUGAGCAUAAUCAAGUUCUGGCGACUUGAAUUUGAGAAAUGUAAGAGAAUUCAUACCCUCAAAGGCAUUUGCUUUCAAAUACAUCUCUUUAGUUCCAGAGAGAUCCAAACAUAUACCUUCAGUUGUUCGAUGUUCCUCCAAUGGAUCAUAGCCUCUCUCAUGCAUGUCAGUGACUUUUCUUCUUUUCCUUCUUGGUAUGACCAUCACUAUGCCUUUGAAGAGGUUGACGAUUGAUGUACUCCAAUUUUUAACCUCUGAAGUUGACAAUAAUUUAUGGACAUCAUCCGGAUCUACUAAUCUGCUUCGUUUGCCAAGCUUUGGUUCUUCUUUGACAAUGUUCCAAGCCAUUUCUUUAAGCAAAUCAUGCACCUCAAUCAUCUCUCCAUUCUCGCUAGGAACACAUGUUAAUAGGGAUUUAUCAAUUAAAUCCUUCACCCUGACAUAAGAAGAGGAAUACAUGGUCGCCAUAUAAUCAAUCAGUCUAGAUCUUGACAUGCCAUAGAGUAGACAGGCAACAUCCAUAAAUAUUUUCUUCUCUUCCUUCCCAAGUUUAUCAUAACUUCUCCUCAGAAUACUCUCAAUACCUAGGUUUCCAGAUUGCCUCAAACCGGUCAAGAGACUUCUCCAAUAAUGUACAUCUUCACCGAACAAUGCACCCCCCAAGAUUUUGAGUGCCAAAGGAUUCCCCUUGCAAUAUGAUAUUGCAAGAUGUGACUUAUCCGUCCAAUUAUCUUGAGGUCGAUCUUGUUUGAAUGCAUGUAAGCUAAACAAUCGGAUAGAUUCCUUGUUAUUCAAACACUCGACAUUGUAAAUCUUGGCCAUAGCAUUUUGAAGCACCUUUUUAUUUCUUGUGGUGAUGAUGAUCCUACUCCCCGCUGCAAAGACUUUGCUGAGAUUGAACACAUAUCCUAAAGCCAAUUGCUCCAAUUGCUCCAAAGUUUCAACGUUGUCUAGAACAACGAAUACCCUCGAGCGCGAAAGACGUUCCCUUCGAUAAGCAAUAUUCAAAUCUUCACGGUCGAUGUUAUUCUCGUCCAACAAUUUUGAAUAGAGUUUGUGAACAAUUUUUUCAACGCCAUGAUGCUUUUCACAUAUUUCAUUCACGUUUCGAACGAAAAGAUGUUUGAUUCCUUUGUUGGACGAAGUUACCCUUUCAUAACACGCUUCGGCUAGAGUUGUUUUCCCAACACCGCCCAUUCCCCAUAGCCCAAUGAUGCAAGUAUCAUCUAGUUUGUCCAUAGCUAAUAGUCGCUCAAUCUCGAAAAUACGUGAACCCAUAGCAACCAAGUUAUUACGAUUGAUACUCGGUGACAUGUCAAUUAAUUGCUUCUGAACAGUUUCCACAACCGCCUUAAUCAAUUCCGAUUCAAUUCUAAGAACCACCCACCAAUGCAAAACAAGCAAACAAAAAAAUAUAUUUAAAAUGACAAUUUUGAGUUACCAUAUAUGUAUGCUUUUGCUUCUAAAACUAAAAUUAAAGUUACUUUAACAAGGAGGAUAUUCUAGGCAUGGAGUGUUGAGUAACUUACUUGAUGGCCUGCGAAGUAUGACCAGCACAAUUAGCCACAGCGUUCACAGCAUCCAUCCAUCUCUUCUUAUCCUCCAAAAAGCUACUUCUAGCUUUAUAUUCACGAUCGAUGGUAGCCAUAUAGCUUCUCGGUUCAUCUGUCACAUCGAACGGAUCCACUUUAUAGAAAACCGGAAGAACUCUGUGCCCAACUUUCUUCAUCCUUUCAGCAAUAGUAACCACCUCUUCCAAGCACCACUCUGAAUCCGCAAACUUUUCGGAGAAAACCACCACAGAAAGAGCACAUCUCUGGAGGAUCGAGAUUAGCUCAUCGAUGCUUUCAGUUUUUGCGAGCUUGUGGUCAAUGAAGGUUCUGAUUUGCUUGUCUGAUAAAGCAGACAGGAGGUGGCUGGUGAAACCGUGGCGUGUGUCGCCUCUAAAACACAAGAAAACAUCGUACUCCCAUUCUCCGGUAUAAGGAGAAGUACGAGGUGCAGAAGAAGAAAUAUCUGCAGCCAUUUACUCAGUAGAACGAUGAAGGAGAGAAAUAUCUGCUACUGCUGCUGCUGUUAUAUGACAUGAUCAGCAAGUUGGGGGAGCUUUAAAUUAUGAUUGAAUUAUCAGUUCUACGAACAAUUGAUGACUUUUCUCAAAUAACCUUAUCUACUCCUAAGGUACCCUGCCAAUGAAAAGCUUUGGACGGCUGGCUUCGAGUGUUGACUGAUGACUUAAUUAGGGUCUUAGUCACCGCUAUAGGAAAAGUAAGAGGAUUUCUAACCACAAAAAAAUAUCUGAGGAGGGAACGAGAGCUCUAAGAACCAUCAUCUCAUUUAGUUUUCAAUAUGAACUUGUACACAGCAAAGCUUAUAUCUUCUUGGGGAUAGGAGCUGCAGUGACUUCAUUUGUUGGCAGGUCACACUAAUAAGAACAAAAUGGACAAUGCAUAUAUUGGGACUGCAAAAAUUUCAGGAUCCAGAGUUUGUAUUUGUUUGAAAAUCAAAGAUAGAUGAUUGUGAUGAUUACAAACAUACGUAUCUGAUUUCUAUCUCAAACACUCAAAAUGAACAUGAAUGAAGAAAUUAUUAGCAAAGGACGUAAACUGGAAACAUGUAAUGAAUUUCUUGGUCAUGAUGUUUGUGACGGUUCGGUUAAGAUUAGGUGUGUUCUGCCUAACUGAUUGGUGAAUUAAUGAAUGGUUCGAUUAAAAUAUUGAGUAAAAUUAUGAAUUUUCUGGCUGUGAGUAUUUAGGUUUUAUCAUUUAUGAUGGUUUUGGUUUGUUUAAUGUUUAUAUAGGGGAAACCAAGGGGUGGGAAAAUGUUUUUUGUUGGGUCACUAAAGUUUGGGAGGGUAACAUAAUGGUCUACGUGAAGCUCAUCGAAAAAGAGGAAGAGGAAGAGAAGAAGGUUGCUACAACUUACCCUAAGUUUGUGUUUGAGACUACAUGAAGCCAAGGAGCCAAGAUUUGAAGCCAUGUUGGAGUCCAUGGAUGUGGGUCCAAUUGUUACUGCUUCAAUCUAAUUUUAUUUUUACAGUUAAAAAUGUAUGAUAACAAAAGUGAAAAUUAAAAAUAUAAAAUUAACAUACGGUGUGUUGUUCAUAUUAACAUAAUAAAUUUUAAAUUGAACUAUUGAAUUAUUCUGUAACCGGAAAAUCUGUUACGUUUAACCCAAGUUCAGCCCAGAUACGGAUUAAGCUUAUAUUUUAACUGGUUUAGUGCAUUUUAACCAAUUUCGUAACCAAUUAACGUUAAAAGGUUCAACUACCCACCCUAUAUUUCAAUAUAUAGUCGUUCUACCAUUAUCAUCUACUAUAUUCGGAUCGAAAUCACAUUCCUCGUAAUUCCAUCAAAUUACAUUUUCUUUCUUCUUUUUUUCUCUUAUAUAACAUUUAGUGCCAAAUGUUUGGAUAGAAAUAAAAGACGUUUAUUCCAAUGGGAUUGGACCAAUUCUUCUUGUGCAAGUAGUACUAAUUUGUAGCUUUAUACAGAGUAAUUUGGGUUGGAGUUUUGACAUACUUUAACACCUUAUUAUAAGAUUAUUAUGGUCUGCAGGACUAGUUCUUAUAAAAUUCAAUGGAAAUGUGCCAAACGUGACCUAGUCUUGGUGGCCACUGAAAUUUCGGAGAUGAUACGGAAUAGUCACUUUACUUUACUUCCGUUAGAAACUGCGACUAAUAUGUCCGUUAGUUGCAGUUCCUCUAGCUUGACCCUCUGAUUCCUCUCCUGAGUUUGGUGCGUACAAGUAGAAGAUUGAAUGAAGAAUUGGAGCAUGUUUUUGUACACGCUGCUUAAUUAGGAAGGCGAGGGAGGAUCGCGAGAAGUGACAAGCUCUAGACGAUGGGACCAGCUGCAGAGUCUUAUAGGAGUCGAGGGUCUUUAAUGGGUGUUUGGGGUUCCAGAGUCAAUAAGCAAAAAACAACCAAAGUCUUUCAAUAUGUAUGACUUAAUUAAGGCUUGGGGUCUUCUUUUAUUGUAAUUAAAACAAAGACUACCUACUCUGUUUCUAGGAAAAGUAAGAGGAUUUUGUGCCACAAAAAUAUAUCUACUAACCAUAUCCUCUGAAAUCGAUAACUAAUAAAAAGGGUUUGCAGGAUAAAUGUUCGUAAUUAAAAUAAUACCAAGUAAAAUUAAUUUUAAUUUUAUUUGACCUUUAUUUAUAAGAAUUACCAAAAUAAAAUUUUAUUUUUUUGUCAUUUUCAACAUGCAUGUCAAAUAUGAGCCGAUUUGAAAAUUUUGAAAUUUUUCCUAUAAAAAUGGUCAAAUUUCUUUAGUGUAACACACGAAAAAUUGACCAAUUUUCAUAUUGGCUAAAAUUUAACAUGCAUGUUGGAAAUGAUUAAACAUUGAGAUUUCACCAUUUUAAAUCUUUCGAAUAAUAACGAAAUGAAGUUAAAAAAAUAUAGUAUUGUGCCUGCAUGCAGAAAGAAUUGAUGUACACCUAUAAUUCAAGGUAUCAAUAACCCAAAUUCCAAGGAGCCAACCCUCCCUGUAAUGGAAGCAAAUAGAAUAUGAUUGCCAACCAAGUUCAUUAGCUCACCUAUAGUUGAUAAACUGGAAAGUAAAACUUAGAUUGUGACUCAAAUCAAAGUCUCAGAACAAAUGCUUAAUUACAUUGCUUUUGGUAUCUUCAUUUUAAUACAUCAGAGAGACUCCAAAUCUUUUUAUUUUCACCUCCUUCAUGAUUUCACCGUAGAAAUCUACUAAGUAGAAAUUGAAUGAGACAGCAAACCCGCCAUACUUCACAUACCACGCUUCAUCUUCUUCGCUUCCCAUAGACUCCGUACCUGAUAAAUUCUUGUGGAACACCAACCAUACCUUUUCUGAUGAGUUUUCUUCAUGGCCCAUUAGUAUUUCGGUGGAAACCCAAGAUGCAACAGUGGUGUUACCGACCUCGCAACGACAUCCCAUAUUCAUCCAAUAGUAGGAGUCGCAAGAAUACACACAGCCGAAUGCAAUUCCCUUAAUCAUUGGAUGGUCAGGACUAUCAUUAGCAAGAGGCAACUCCACUUUCACAGUACUGCAAUCCUCGUCCUCCAUGCUUCUGUACGAAAACCAUUUCGGAAGCUCGCUUCCUGAACAUCUAACUUGCCGCUAUCACCCACAAAGAUAGCCAGCCUCGUCAAAAAUUAUUCAUAAUAAAAUAAGAUGGGAAGAAGAGAAAAUAUGGGGACAUUUACAUACCUCAUAUGACGGAGACAAGCUGGCAUGAACGAGGAAAUUUGCCACGAACUCGCCAGGUAUAGCCUGGUCCAAUUGUGGACAUCCGUCAAAAUGGAUCGUAUUCAGGUACAACAGCUUACAUGUGUUGCUUGGUAGAGCUUGUAAAGACUUGCAACCACUUACGUUCAAGGUCUUCAGAUUUGGUGGGAGUUCAGGCAAAGAUAUAAUGAUCUCACAGCCAGACAUUGACAAAGUUACCAACUUGGAAAGCUUAUGGAUACUGUUUGGAAUUGACUCGAGGCUUUUGCAAUCUCUAAGAUCAAUCGAAAAAAGCUGCCUUAGUUCUUGGAUGCUAGAAGGCAGAGACUUAAUACCCGUCUCUACUAAACAAAGCGAUAUCAGAGAUCUUAAAUUGCUGAUGCUAGUUGGAAUACUUGUGAGGCUUCUACAACAGAAUACAUGAAGAGAAGUUAAGGUACUCAUAGGCUCUGAGAUUUCCGGCAAACUUUCAAUCAGCGGGCUCGAACAAAUAAAAAGUUCUUCAGAAAUCAUGUUCCAUAUACUGUUUGGCAGGACUCAAGUUGCCGGUUGCCUGUCAACGACAAAUUAUGAAAUUUUGGCAAUAGUAAUCCAUCAGAAGUCUGAUGCUGUUGAUGAUAAUCGGCCAAAUCAAUCUCCCUUAUUGAAGUACCGCUUAAUUUAAAACGCUUCAAUAUUGUUGUAAUUCCAGGAAAUUUGGUAAUGUUUUUGCCAUGGAGACGUAGGACUCCAUUUUGCUUGACAUUGUAAAUUGCACUGGGUAACUCUCCGAGAGAUGUACCACUUAAAUCAAAUUCCUCCAACUCUCUCGAAUCAAUCUCUGGACAGCAUGUGACCUCGAGAUUUUUCAUCCGAACGUGCUUAAGUAACUUUGAGUCAAGUUUAGGUGGAAGACGCUUGAGAUUUUUGCAAUAAUUGAUGUCUAGCGUUACCAGCUUGGUCAAAUAUUGAACAUGAAAUGGUACCUCAACUAGGCUUACGCAUCGACAAAGAAGGAGUUCUUCGAGAUUCAAAGAACUUGAUAUAUCCGGAAUAGCGAUUAGAUUUGCACAGUAGCGGAGAUCAAGCACAAUCAAGUUCACAAGUUGGGG